rnacentral:rRNA from 1 species
ACUCUUCGGAGUGAGAGCGUACACAGGUGCUGCAUGGCUGUCGUCAGCUCGUGUCGUGAGAUGGUUGGGUUAACGUCCCGCAACGAGCGCCAACCCCUGCAUUCAGUUGCCAUCGGUAAGGCCGGGCACUCUGGAUGGACUGCCGGCGACAAGCCGGAGGAAGGUGGGGACGACGUCAAGUCAUCAUGGCCCUUACGGCCUGGGCUACACACGUGCUACAAUGGUCGGUACAAAGGGUUGCCAAGCCGCGAGGUGGAGCUAAUCCCAUAAAACCGAUCGUAGUCCGGAUCGCAGUCUGCAACUCGACUGCGUGAAGUCGGAAUCGCUAGUAAUCGUGAAUCAGAAUGUCACGGUGAAUACGUUCCCGGGCCUU